rnacentral:tRNA from 1 species
AAGGGAGACCUAAUUCGGGUAGAAGACGAAAAAAUAGUAGUCGAAACCAAGAAUCAAUCCCAAAAGGUCGGAACGAGGUAUGUGGCUUUCAAACUAGGUUCUGGGUUCACAAAAGACCUGAAUCAGGAACAAGGGCUAUUAGCUCAGGUGGUUAGAGCGCACCCCUGAUAAGGGUGAGGUCCCUGGUUCGAGUCCGGGAUGGCCCACCUGCACAGGUGGCAAAAACAAGAGAAACGAGGAAUCAGCACCUUAUCUUACUUACAUAGUAAGAGAGAAUGCUGGCUCUGAGUAAAGAGUCCAGAGGAACCUUGAAAACUGCAUAGAGCUAGGUGAAAAAGCCAAAAAAGAAGACCGCAA